GUGAAAGUUUGAUUCUAGCUGGGCUGUUUAUUUUUUCUUCGGGUCAUAUGCGAGAUACCAAUUAAGUUAGGCAGUGCAGUGAUCGACAUUAUUAUCUAUUUCUUAGGUAUAGCGAUUGAGAAAAUAGGGGGAUCAUCCUGUGCCAGCAUCCGCGGUCAUACAGGAGCCUAAAGUAAACAUUCUAGGUGAAUAGGGGAGUUUUGUUACAAGAGACCUUCAUAACAACAAGGGUGAAAUCUGUACUCAAGUUAAAUUUCUUGUUUAAAGCAUCUUUUAGGUAGUUAAACGACUAGGAUUAGAUACCCUAUUAGUCUAUCCUUAGUUAACCUGGGUAGUAACAUUAAAACCUAAAGAAUUUGGCGGUUUCUAAACUUACUAGAGGAACCUGUCCCGUAAACGACAACCCACGAAAAAAUCAACCCAAACUUGUUAUCCAGCUUAUAUACCGUCGUUUAGGGGAUUAAACAAAUAGAUCUCCUUAAGAGCUUAGGCUAAUAAAUCAGAUCAAGGUGUAGCUUAUGUUUGGGUGAGGAUGGGUUACAAUGAAAAUUCAUACGGAACCUUUAUAUUACUGUAAAGGAGAAGGUGGAUUUAGAAGUAAGACUUAAUACACUGAAGAAAGCCCUGAGAAAUGUACACAUCGCCCGUCGCUCUCUUGUCCGAAGAGAUAAGUCGUAACAAAGUAGGUGUAUCGGAAGGUUCAUCUUGAAAGA
rnacentral:ncRNA from 1 species